AUUGAACGCUGGCGGCAGGCCUAACACAUGCAAGUCGAGCGGGGUUUUCGGACCUAGCGGCGGACGGGUGAGUAAUGCGUAGGAAGCUGCCCGAUAGAGGGGGAUACCAGUUGGAAACGACUGUUAAUACCGCAUAAUGUCUACGGACCAAAGUAUGGGACCUUCGGGCCACAUGCUAUCGGAUGCGCCUACGUGGGAUUAGCUAGUUGGUGAGGUAAUGGCUCACCAAGGCGACGAUCUCUAGCUGGUUUGAGAGGAUGAUCAGCCACACUGGAACUGAGACACGGUCCAGACUCCUACGGGAGGCAGCAGUGGGGAAUAUUGGACAAUGGGCGCAAGCCUGAUCCAGCCAUGCCGCGUGUGUGAAGAAGGCCUUCGGGUUGUAAAGCACUUUCAGCGAGGAGGAAGGGACGUAUGUUAAUAGCAUGCACUUUUGACGUUACUCGCAGAAGAAGCACCGGCUAACUCUGUGCCAGCAGCCGCCGUAAGAC
rnacentral:rRNA from 1 species